rnacentral:rRNA from 1 species
CCUACGGGAGGCAGCAGUGGGGAAUAUUGGACAAUGGGCGAAAGCCUGAUCCAGCAAUGCCGCGUGAGUGAUGAAGGCCUUCGGGUCGUAAAGCUCUUUUACCAGGGAUGAUAAUGACAGUACCUGGAGAAUAAGCUCCGGCUAACUCCGUGCCAGCAGCCGCGGUAAUACGGAGGGAGCUAGCGUUGUUCGGAAUUACUGGGCGUAAAGAGUACGUAGGCGGUUAUUCAAGUCAGAGGUGAAAGCCCGGGGCUCAACCCCGGAACUGCCUUUGAAACUAGAUAACUAGAGUCUUGGAGAGGUUAGUGGAAUUCCGAGUGUAGAGGUGAAAUUCGUAGAUAUUCGGAAGAACACCAGUGGCGAAGGCGACUAACUGGACAAGUACUGACGCUGAGGUACGAAAGCGUGGGGAGCAAACAGGAUUAGAUACCCUGGUAGUCCACGCCGUAAACGAUGAUAACUAGUUGUUCGGUCACUUGGUGACUGAGUGACGCAGCUAACGCAUUAAGUUAUCCGCCUGGGGAGUACGGUCGCAAGAUUAAACUCAAGGAAUUGACGGCUGAGACNGCGAGACGACACGAGGAGAG